rnacentral:rRNA from 1 species
CGGACGGGUGAGUAAUGUCUGGGAAACUGCCCGAUGGAGGGGGAUAACUACUGGAAACGGUAGCUAAUACCGCAUAACGUCGCAAGACCAAAGAGGGGACCUUCGGGCCUCUUGCCAUCGGAUGUGCCCAGAUGGGAUUAGCUAGUAGGUGGGGUAACGGCUCACCUAGGCGACGAUCCCUAGCUGGUCUGAGAGGAUGACCAGCCACACUGGAACUGAGACACGGUCCA